ACCCCGGUUGAUCCUGCCGGACCCGACUGCUAUCGGGGUGAGACUAAGCCAUGCGAGUCUGCCCCCUCAGCCAUGGGAGGGGGCGGCGCACGGCUCAGUAACACGUGGCUAACCUACCCUCAGGACGGGGAUAACCCCGGGAAACUGGGGAUAAUCCCCGAUAGGUGAGGGAUCCUGGAAUGGUUCCUCGCCGAAAGGGCUCUCGGACCAUGCUUCCGAGAGCCGCCUGAGGAUGGGGCUGCGGCCUAUCAGGUAGUUGGUGGGGUAACGGCCCACCAAGCCGAUAACGGGUACGGGCCCUGAGAGGGGGAGCCCGGAGAUGGGCACUGAGACAAGGGCCCAGGCCCUACGGGGCGCAGCAGGCGCGAAACCUCCGCAAUGCGCGCAAGCGCGACGGGGCCACCCCGAGUGCCACCCGCUGAGGGUGGCUUUUCCCCGGUGUAAGAAGCCGGGGGAAUAAGCGGGGGGCAAGCCUGGUGUCAGCCGCCGCGGUAAUACCAGCCCCGCGAGUGGUCGGGAUGUUUACUGGGCCUAAAGCAUCCGUAGCCGGCCCGGUAAGUCCUCCUUGAAAUCCUCGGGCUCAACCCGAGGGCUGGGGAGGAUACUGCCGGGCUAGGGGGCGGGAGAGGCCGAGAGUACUCCCGGGGUAGGGGCGAAAUCCUGUAAUCCCGGGAGGAC
rnacentral:rRNA from 1 species